AUAAGAGUAGCUCAGAUUUCUUUUGGUGGUGUUAUGUGAUUAUUACAUGGUACAAUUAGCAGAACUUGGGUAAAUAUGAAAAUAAUGCGGCUCUAUGGACGCUGUCUAUUAGCGUCCUGGUUACUAUGGAAGCUCCCUGCGACGCGGCGCGCCGUGAUGACGUCACCCGCGAGACGCUGCAGCGGACCGGGAGAGUGGUAUCGCCGGCGCGCCGUGGAGCAGGUGAGUGUGAUUAGGGCUUACUGUGAUUUGAUUUGGUUGGGGAUAUAUGUAUGUAUGUUUGUGCACAUUUGGUAAUACUGCCCUGAGGACGGAGGAAGCUCCGAAACAUGUUGGCUUGUUGCUAAUAAAGAAUUAACGGAUUCCA